rnacentral:lncRNA from 1 species
CUAUGUUCUAUUUGUCUGUAUCUCGCUAUUCGUAUGAACUUAUGACUCCGGGCAAUAGAUGUCUAUAAGGCAGCUAAAAUUUACUCCUUCAAUUACCAAAAAUUAUUAAACCUUUAAAUUGUCCAUGGAAUAUGAUAACACCUGAACUUUUGGACCUUAGCACUUAAUUAAAGCUUUAAAUUGGCUGUGGCAUGUUAUUAAACCUUUAAAUUGCAAACACACACAAAUAUAGCUUCAAGAGAAACUCAUAAAAGCUUCUGCAACUCACUUUGACACCCUGAGGCAACUCAUUUAGAAUACAAAUGAAUGUUCAACAGAGAAUGAGAAACUUAGCUUCGAUAUAAAUGAAUGGAAUAUUCUGAUAGUUAGGAAAUGUCUAUUCACAGUUGAAUAAGAUGUCGAGUAAAUUGAAAUUUUUAUCAAAUUACCUGUUCACUAGAAUAGAUUUUGUAUAACAAGAAUUUAAACAAGAUACUUAUUAUUUCUUUUGAUAGCUGGAAAAUGGCAUUAACAUUGCACUUGUUUCGUUUCAGAAAAUGCAUUCCUUUCUCUGAUUUGGCAUUUCCCUUCUACUUUACUUCUUAAGAUCAUAUAUUUUGGUCAUUUGCAUGUAUCUCCAUUCUGACCUUUUUUGUUGUUGAAACUUCUGUGAUUUUACUCCCACAAUCCCCAAUAUAGUCUAUGAGCAGCCAUUAGUCUCUCUUCCUCUUCAUCAGUAAAUGCCCUUGCAGAUGGGGAAAUUACUUCUUGUUCUGCACUGCAUCUCUCGCCUUGCGAAGAUUUCACCACUUGCAUUUGGCCUAAAACAUAUCAAGUGAACAUGAAUUGAUGGUGGUACAGCUUACAGAAUUUUAACUUCUUUGUUCCCAUGUUUUGGACACAGGGUAAGAGGUGGUAUGUUCUCCGACAACUCAUCCUCUCACUCAUUGCACAAAUAUAAUGUUGAUAGGUAUGCUUCCAGCAACUGUUUUUAAUGUGCAGAAUAUAUCGAAGCAUAUGACAUGAAUAUCAAUUUCGGAAUUCAGUACUAUACAUUGAUAUGCAUUAAAUUUCAAAGCUUCCGUCAGAUGAUAUUUUGAUAUCCCCAUGAACAUCAAUCACUUUCUCUGAAAGGCUUCAAGAACAUUGAAUUGGAAAUUAAUCUGUAACAAUUCUGAUUACCCAAUCAGACAAAUUAUUGCAUACUUCAUCAAAGACCCAGUUGCAUUGUAGAUGGGGUGUGAAUCUAAUGUUCAAAUUUGGCAACUGAAGAUUCUUUGAAAUGAGGCAGAUGGCCUAAUAUGGAUUUCUUUUCACGUAGUUUAGCCUCCUUGUAUUUUCAAUUAAAAUCAUUGGACGUUGUUUAAAUAGUAUGAAGCAUCUUCUGGGAAAUGAGUUUGGUUCUGUCUCUUAGUUCGGUUCAAAGUCCUUUGAACACCUUUUCUUUUCUUUUCUUUUCUUUUUUUUUUUUUUUUGUGUGUUUGUAAUAAAUGGAGGUUGUUGGUUUUUGCUUCUGGACAAAAGGUUAAGGAUUAAAUCAUGGCCAUUAAGGUACUCUCUAAACUAAUUUGGAUGCUUUAAUGAUUCUAUAGUUAAACCAUUAAUUAGUUGUUCCUUAUAUGAAUAUGUGAUAGUAAGUGUAUAUAAGUAACUUUGAUGUUGAAUCUGUAAUAAUAGUUCAUUUUUGCUAGUUGCUUUUAUAUUGAGUUCAACUGACGUAGUCCGUAAAUUUCAUAUUACAUGCAUACCUAUAAAGCAGUGGAUUAAAUUUUUUCAAGUCUAUUGCACAUAGUAAUUAAUAAUUCAGUAGUUAACAACGCUUUUAUCAAAUUACUCAAGCACAUUGGUCAAUUAUAUGCACUCCUACAUAUGCUCAAGUUGAGAAAGGGAUAUCAUUGAUUAUUAAUGUUGGCAUCGAAAGAGACUUGUACGUUAACUCCUGAAUAAGAAAUUUAUAUUUAAUUUCUACGUUAACUUUUAAAUACAAUAUUAGUACUUUCCUUUCCUAUUGUCUUGCAUGCAGAUCAUGAGGAACAUAAUUGAGGGAGACAAGAAUGAGAGUCAAGGAUUACAUCUCACUACUGCACAAGAUUGCAACUCAAUUCUAUUGUUGCCUAUGAUUUUAUUUUGGACUGCACUAUUCUUCUCAUUUUUUGGAACUUCACUAGGUUUUUUUAUUGUCUAUGAUAUUGUUUUGGACUAUGUCUAUGUACAUGUUACUCAUUCUGGAAUUAGAACUGACUUGUAAAUGUAUUUUGCCUUGCAUCAACUUUCUUAAAGGCUUUUGAAUUGUGACUAUUGCGUUGUGAUUUCAAAUACAUCCUGGUUUUAAUUUUUGUUGGCGCAUUGUGUUUGAAUUGGGCUUUUCAUUACUG